GCAAACUUGGUCAUUUAGAGGAAGUAAAAGUCGUAACAAGGUUUCCGUAGGUGAACCUGCGGAAGGAUCAUUAAUGAAAUGUUAGGACGCUCUUUUUAGAGGUCCGACCCUUCAUUUUCCUUACACUGUGAACCAAAUUUUUACAUCAUUUUAAACGCAUUAAGUUUAAGAAUGUCAUUAGUCUCUUAAUUGAGCAUAAAAUUUAUAAAAACUUUCGGCAACGGAUCUCUUGGCUCCCGCAUCGAUGAAGAACGCAGC
rnacentral:misc_RNA from 1 species